AAAUUGAAGAGUUUGAUCAUGGCUCAGAUUGAACGCUGGCGGCAGGCCUAACACAUGCAAGUCGAACGGUAACAGGAAACACUUGCUGUUUCGCUGACGAGUGGCGGACGGGUGAGUAAUGUCUGGGAAACUGCCUGAUGGAGGGGGAUAACUACUGGAAACGGUAGCUAAUACCGCAUAACGUCGCAAGACCAAAGAGGGGGACCCUCGGGCCUCUUGCCAUCGGAUGUGCCCAGAUGGGAUUAGCUUGUUGGUGGGGUAACGGCUCACC
rnacentral:rRNA from 1 species